rnacentral:rRNA from 1 species
GGUGCUUGCAUCAUGAUUUACAUUUGAGUGAGUGGCGAACUGGUGAGUAACACGUGGGAAACCUGCCCAGAAGCGGGGGAUAACACCUGGAAACAGAUGCUAAUACCGCAUAACAACUUGGACCGCAUGGUCCGAGCUUGAAAGAUGGCUUCGGCUAUCACUUUUGGAUGGUCCCGCGGCGUAUUAGCUAGAUGGUGGGGUAACGGCUCACCAUGGCAAUGAUACGUAGCCGACCUGAGAGGGUAAUCGGCCACAUUGGGACUGAGACACGGCCCAAACUCCUACGGGAGGCAGCAGUAGGGAAUCUUCCACAAUGGACGAAAGUCUGAUGGAGCAACGCCGCGUGAGUGAAGAAGGGUUUCGGCUCGUAAAACUCUGUUGUUAAAGAAGAACAUAUCUGAGAGUAACUGUUCAGGUAUUGACGGUAUUUAACCAGAAAGCCACGGCUAACUACGUGCCAGCAGCCGCGGUAAUACGUAGGUGGCAAGCGUUGUCCGGAUUUAUUGGGCGUAAAGCGAGCGCAGGCGGUUUUUUAAGUCUGAUGUGAAAGCCUUCGGCUCAACCGAAGAAGUGCAUCGGAAACUGGGAAACUUGAGUGCAGAAGAGGACAGUGGAACUCCAUGUGUAGCGGUGAAAUGCGUAGAUAUAUGGAAGAACACCAGUGGCGAAGGCGGCUGUCUGGUCUGUAACUGACGCUGAGGCUCGAAAGUAUGGGUAGCAAACAGGAUUAGAUACCCUGGUAGUCCAUACCGUAAACGAUGAAUGCUAAGUGUUGGAGGGUUUCCGCCCUUCAGUGCUGCAGCUAACGCAUUAAGCAUUCCGCCUGGGGAGUACGGCCGCAAGGCUGAAACUCAAAGGAAUUGACGGGGGCCCGCACAAGCGGUGGAGCAUGUGGUUUAAUUCGAAGCUACGCGAAGAACCUUACCAGGUCUUGACAUACUAUGCAAAUCUAAAAGAUUAGACGUUCCCUUCGGGGACAUGGAUACAGGUGGUGCAU